rnacentral:tRNA from 1 species
UGGGGUGUGGCUCGGUGGUAGAGCUCCUGCCUGGCACGCAGGAGGUCCUGGGUUGUCCCUAUCACCAUAC